GAUGAACGCUGGCGGCGUGCCUAAUACAUGCAAGUCGAGCGAACAGACGAGGAGCUUGCUCCUCUGACGUUAGCGGCGGACGGGUGAGUAACACGUGGAUAACCUACCUAUAAGACUGGGAUAACUUCGGGAAACCGGAGCUAAUACCGGAUAAUAUAUUGAACCGCAUGGUUCAAUAGUGAAAGACGGUUUUGCUGUCACUUAUAGAUGGAUCCGCGCCGCAUUAGCUAGUUGGUAAGGUAACGGCUUACCACGGCGACGAUGCGUAGCCGACCUGAGAGGGUGAUCGGCCACACUGGAACUGAGACACGGUCCAGACUCCUACGGGAGGCAGCAGUAGGGAAUCUUCCGCAAUGGGCGAAAGCCUGACGGAGCAACGCCGCGUGAGAGAUGAAGGUCUUCGGAUCGUAAAACUCUGUUAUUAGGGAAGAACAAAUGUGUAAGUAACUAUGCACGUCUUGACGGUACCUAAUCAGAAAGCCACGGCUAACUACGUG
rnacentral:rRNA from 1 species